rnacentral:rRNA from 1 species
GAUCAUGGCUCAGGACGAACGCUGGCGGCGUGCUUAACACAUGCAAGUCGAACGAAGAGUGAUGGAAGCUUGCUUCUAUCAAUCUUAGUGGCGAACGGGUGAGUAACGCGUAAUCAACCUGCCCUUCAGAGGGGGACAAACCCCCCCCCCCCCCCCCCCCCCCCCCCCCCCGUUGGAAAGACUGCUAAUACCGCAUACGAUCCAAUCUCGGCAUCGAGACUGGAUGAAAGGUGGCCUCUAUUUAUAAGCUAUC